rnacentral:rRNA from 1 species
AUAUCAAUAAGCGGAGGAAAAGAAACCAACAGGGAUUGCCCCAGUAACGGCGAGUGAAGCGGCAACAGCUCAAAUUUGAAAUCUGGCUCUUUCAGGGUCCGAGUUGUAAUUUGUAGAAGAUGCUUCGGGUGUAGCUCCGGUCUAAGUUCCUUGGAACAGGACGUCAUAGAGGGUGAGAAUCCCGUAUGUGACUGGGUGCUUUCGCUCAUGUGAAGCUCUUUCGACGAGUCGAGUUGUUUGGGAAUGCAGCUCAAAAUGGGUGGUAAAUUUCAUCUAAAGCUAAAUAUUGGCCAGAGACCGAUAGCGCACAAGUAGAGUGAUCGAAAGAUGAAAAGCACUUUGGAAAGAGAGUUAAACAGUACGUGAAAUUGUUGAAAGGGAAGCGCUUGCAACCAGACUUGCAUGCGGUCGAUCAUCCGGGGUUCUCCCCGGUGCACUCGACCGCGUUCAGGCCAGCAUCGGUUUCGGUGGUUGGAUAAAGGCCUUGGGAAUGUGGCUCUCUUCGGGGAGUGUUAUAGCCCAAGGUGCAAUGCAGCCUACCGGGACCGAGGACCGCGCUUCGGCUAGGAUGCUGGCGUAAUGGUUGUAAGCGA